CGCGGCCUAUCAGCUUGUUGGUGAGGUAACGGCUCACCAAGGCAUCGACGGGUAGCUGGUCUGAGAGGACGAUCAGCCACACUGGGACUGAGACACGGCCCAGACUCCUACGGGAGGCAGCAGUAGGGAAUCUUGCGCAAUGGGCGAAAGCCUGACGCAGCAACGCCGCGUGGGGGAUGAAUGCCUUCGGGUUGUAAACCCCUUUCAGCAGGGACGAAAAUGACGGUACCUGCAGAAGGAGCUCCGGCCAACUACGUGCCAGCAGCCGCGGUAAUACAUAGGGAGCGAGCGUUGUCCGGAAUUAUUGGGCGUAAAGAGCUCGUAGGCGGUUCAGUAAGUCGGGUGUGAAAACUCAAGGCUCAACCUUGAGACGCCACUCGAUACUGCUGUGACUUGAGUCCGGUAGAGGAGUGUGGAAUUCCUGGUGUAGCGGUGAAAUGCGCAGAUAUCAGGAGGAACACCAGCGGCGAAGGCGGCACUCUGGGCCGGUACUGACGCUGAGGAGCGAAAGCAUGGGGAGCAAACAGGAUUAGAUACCCUGGUAGUCCAUGCCGUAAACGUUGGGCACUAGGUAUGGGAUCAUAUCAACGGAUUCCGUGCCGUAGCUAACGCAUUAAGUGCCCCGCCUGGGGAGUACGG
rnacentral:rRNA from 1 species